UGUAUUUCAUCUGGAGGUCUCUGCCUAUAUGAAGGUCUUUCUGAAGAUGCUUUGUGUCCUUCUCAAUGAAAAUGCAGGAGAUGCAAAUGGACCAACACAGCUCCAGAAUGACACAGAAGCCAACGCAUCCACCAGAGAAUGGGAACCAGGGAUGUGAUCCCUGUGGCCAUCCCAGUGGAAUGAAAUGGGCAGCCACGAUGUAUCUGCAGCCAC
rnacentral:lncRNA from 1 species